CAAAAACAUCGCCUCCUGCAAAAAUCAACAUAUAGGAGGUCCUGCCUGCCCAGUGACUGUCAGUUUAACGGCCGCGGUAUUUUGACCGUGCUAAGGUAGCGCAAUCACUUGUUCUUUAAAUGAGGACCCGUAUGAAUGGUGGAACGAGGGCUUAACUGUCUCCCCUCUCUAGUCAAUGAAAUUGAUCUGCCCGUGCAGAAGCGGGCAUACACAUACAAGACGAGAAGACCCUUUGGAGCUUAAGACAAAAGGCCAAUCUUCGGUUGGGGCGACCGUGGGGGAAAACAAAGCCCCCAUGUAGAAUGUAAAACCAAGAGAGACAUCUCUAAGUCACAGAACAUCUGACUCCGAUUAACGAACCAAGUUACCCUAGGGAUAACAGCGCAAUCCUUUCCAAGAGUCCAUAUCGACGAAAGGGUUUACGACCUCGAUGUUGGAUCAGGACAUCCUAAUGGUGCAGCCGCUAUUAAGGGUUCGUUUGUUCAACGAUUAAAGUCCUACGUGAUCUGA
rnacentral:rRNA from 1 species